GUAGAUAUCAGUGAUGAAGCUGUAGGAGUGCAAAUUGACGCACCGGCCAGGGACGGAGAAGCAAACACGGCCCUUCUCGAUUACAUUAGCUCCGUUUUAGGAGUAAAACGAAGGCAAGUAUCGAUAGGCACUGGUUCCAAGUCUAGAGAUAAGACAGUUAUUGUGGAGGAUGUUACUGUUCAAUAUGUUUUUGAUGCUCUAGAUAAAGUCUCAAAGGACCAGCGGUGAGACAAAUACCAGGUGGCCGGAAGUGAAGCCAUGUGCUGGGAUCAUGUGAUAUGUGUUGUUUCUUGAUUACCAUAUACCACACAGCAAGAAGUAAGCCAGAUUCUAGUCUCAUUUGUUUUCCAGCUGAAGUAUUUGCCACUGGUCUUGUUAGUUGAAAGAACGAGAGUCGAACGUGAGUGUUCUCUCUCACUUUUGUAGGAUUUUGAUUCUGAUUUAUGUUCGAAAUGGUGUAUCUACACUGCAAGCAAGUAGUUCCUAAUGGUUUUGUAGGAUGUUGAUUCUCUAUUUAAGUUCCUAUCAUUAGCUGUGAACAUGUCCUUGAAACAAAGGCUGUGUCGUGUCAAAAUAUGAAUUUUAGUCACUGAUUUGAGAAA